GUGUAUUGUAUUAGGGUUUUUUUAAAUUACCAUUUCUGUUAAUUGUGGACAGAGACCUGCUGCUACUACAUGAUGCUGCUGCUUUUUGUGUUGCUAUGAGCUGCUGCUGUUUUUGUUUGGAAGCUUAAAUUGAGGUAUAAAUAAAAAUCACAAUUGAAGCUUAAUUUGAAAUUGAAUGCAUCUGUUUUUGUUUGGAUUUGAAAGCAUUUGUUUCUCUUUUUAUUUAUUGUUAUGUUU
rnacentral:lncRNA from 1 species